GCAGGUUGAAGCGCGGGUAAGACCGCGUGGAGGACCGAACCCACCUGGGUUGAAAACCGGGGGGAUGACCUGGGGCUAGGGGUGAAAGGCCAAUCAAAUUCCGUGAUAGCUGGUUCUCUCCGAAAUGCAUUUAGGUGCAGCGUCGGUCGAUUGCGUCGCGGGGGUAGAGCUACCGGAUGCUUGCGGGCCCUUGUUGGGUACCAACAGCAGCCGAACUCCGAAUACCGUUGACGUGUAUUCCGGCAGUGAGUCGGCGGGGGAUAAGCUCCGUCGUCGAGAGGGAGACAGCCCAGACCGUCGUCUAAGGUCCCGAAGCGUGUGCUAAGUGGGAAAGGAUGUGGAGUCGCAUAGACAGCCAGGAGGUUGGCUCAGAAGCAGCCAUCCUUGAAAGAGUGCGUAACAGCUCACUGGUCUAGUGGUUCCGCGCCGACAAUGUAGCGGGGCUCAAGCACACCACCGAAGACGCGGCAGCAAUCUUCAUGGUUGCUGGGUAGGAGAGCGUCCUGCGAGGGGCGAAGCGGCCGGGUAACCGUGCCGUGGACUUCGUGGGAGUGAGAAUGCAGACAUGAGUAGCGAGAGACGGGUGAGGAUCCCGUCCGCUGGAUGACCAAGGGUUCCGGGGCCACGUUCGUCGUCCCCGGGUGAGUCGGGUCCUAAGGCGAGGCCGACAGGCGUAGUCGAAUGGAUGAACGGGUGGAUAUUCCCGUACCGACCAUGGACCGGCAAAACCGAGACGGUGAGUACUAACCUCCGCCUCGUGGUGGUUCCUUCCUUCGGGUUGGUUCCGCCGCGUGGUGUUGGGAGCGUAGCCGCAGUAGGUCAGCGCAGGGGUGACACGGAAUGGGAGCCGGCCGCGGAGGUGGUUUUCCGUGGUCAAGCACGCAGCCAGUCAUGUAGGCAAAUCCGCAUGGCGCGCAUGGCGAGGUGUGAUGAUGGGAGCCGUUAUGGUUCGAUAUCCGGUUGUCCAGGCCGUCGAGAAAAGCCUCGGCGUGAGGGCCAUGGCCGCCCGUACCCCAAACCGACACUGGUGGUCAGGUAGAGAAUACCAAGGCGAUCGAGCGAAUCCUGGUCAAGGAACUCGGCAAAUCACUCCCGUGCCUUCGGUAUAAGGGAGACCCGCUGGGGUGAACCGGCUAGCCCGGGGAGCUUUGGUGGGUGGCACAGACCAGGGGGUAGCGACUGUUUACCAAAAACACAGGUGCAUGCGAAGGCGAAAGCCGCUGUAUAUGCACUGACGCCUGCCCGGUGCCGGAAGGUUAAGAGGAUCCGUCAGUCCCUUCGGGAUGAAGCGGUGAAUUCAAGCCCCGGUAAACGGCGGUGGUAACUAUAACCAUCCUAAGGUAGCGAAAUUCCUUGUCGGGUAAGUUCCGACCUGCACGAAUGGCGUAACGACUUCCCCACUGUCUCGACCAGGAGCUCGGCGAAAUUGCAGUACGAGUAAAGAUGCUCGUUAAGCGCAGAAGGACGAAAAGACCCCGGGACCUUUACUAUACCUUGGUAUUGGCGUUAGGCGCGGAUUGUGUAGCAUAGGCGGGAGGCUUCGAAGCGGGUGCGCCAGCAUUCGUGGAGCCGCAAGGUGAAAUACCGCUCUGUUCUCGUUUGACGUCUAACCUCGACAAGUCAUCCUUGUCAGGGACAGUGCCUGGCGGGUAGUUCAACUGGGGCGGUUGCCUCCCAAAGAGUAACGGAGGCGCUCAAAGGUCCGCUCAGCCCGGUUGGCAAUCGGGUGUCGAGUGUAAUCGCACAAGCGGGCUUGACUGCGAGGACGACGGUCCGAGCAGGGACGAAAGUCGGAGAUAGUGAUCCGGUGCCGGCGCACGGGCGCGGCAUCGCUCAACGGAUAAAAGGUACCCCGGGGAUAACAGGCUGAUCAUUCCCAAGAGUCCAUAUCGACGGGAUGGUUUGGCACCUCGAUGUCGGCUCGUCGCAUCCUGGGGCUGGAGCAGGUCCCAAGGGUUCGGCUGUUCGCCGAUUAAAGCGGCACGCGAGCUGGGUUCAGAACGUCGUGAGACAGUUUGGUCUCUAUCCUCUGCGCUCGUUGGAAUCCUGAGGAGGCCUGCCCAUAGUACGAGAGGACCUGGGUGGACGAACCUCUGGUAUGCCGGUUGUCGCGCCAGCGGCACGGCCGGUUGGCUACGUUCGGGAGGGAUAACCGCUGAAAGCAUCUAAGCGGGAAGCCUGCUCCAAGAUUAGGAUUCCAUGGAUCUUCGAGAUCCUGUAGCCCGCAUGUUGAACACGUGUUUGAUAGGCCGGAGGUGGAAGUCCCGUGAGGGGUGGAGCCGACCGGUACUAACGGGCGACGGCGACACAA
rnacentral:rRNA from 1 species